UACGAAGGGAGCUAGCGUUGUUCGGAAUCACUGGGCGUAAAGCGCACGUAGGCGGAUGUGUCAGUCAGGGGUGAAAUCCCGGGGCUCAACCUCGGAACUGCCUUUGAUACAGCACGUCUCGAGUCCGGAAGAGGUGGGUGGAAUUCCUAGUGUAGAGGUGAAAUUCGUAGAUAUUAGGAAGAACACCGGUGGCGAAGGCGGCCCACUGGUCCGGUACU
rnacentral:rRNA from 1 species